rnacentral:rRNA from 1 species
CACGGGGGGAGCAAGCGUUGUUCGGAAUCACUGGGCGUAAAGGGCGUGUAGGCGGUCCGGUAAGUCGGUUGUGAAAACUGGGGGCUCAACCCUCAGAGGCCGACCGAUACUGUCGGGCUAGAGUCCGGAAGAGGCGAGUGGAAUUCCUGGUGUAGCGGUGAAAUGCGCAGAUAUCAGGAGGAACACCAAUGGCGAAGGCAGCUCGCUGGGACGGUACUGACGCUGAGGCGCGAAAGCGUGGGGAGCAAACAGG